rnacentral:rRNA from 1 species
GACGAACGCUGGCGGCGUGCUUAACACAUGCAAGUCGAACGCUGAAGCUCAGCUUUUGUUGGGUGGAUGAGUGGCGAACGGGUGAGUAACACGUGAGUAACCUGCCUCCUUCUUUGGGAUAACGCCCGGAAACGGGUGCUAAUACUGGAUAUUCACUGGUCUUCGCAUGGGGGUUGGUGGAAAGGGUUUUUCUGGUGGGGGAUGGGCUCGCGGCCUAUCAGCUUGUUGGUGGGGUGAUGGCCUACCAAGGCUUUGACGGGUAGCCGGCCUGAGAGGGUGACCGGUCACAUUGGGACUGAGAUACGGCCCAGACUCCGACGGGAGGCAGCAGUGGGGAAUAUUGCACAAUGGGCGCAGGCCUGAUGCAGCGACGCCGCGUGAGGGAUGGAGGCCUUCGGGUUGUGAACCUCUUUCGCUCAUGGUCAAGCCGCAACAAUGGUUGUGGUGAGGGUAGUGGGUAAAGAAGCGCCGGCUAACUACGUG